rnacentral:rRNA from 1 species
UACGAGGGGCCCAAACGUUAUUCGGAAUUACUGGGCUUAAAGAGUUCGUAGGCGGCGCAGAAAGUAGGGUGUGAAAGCCCUCGGCUCAACCGAGGAAUUGCGCUCUAAACUACUGUGCUUGAGGGACCUAGAGGUGAGCGGAACUGAUGGUGGAGCGGUGAAAUGCGUUGAUAUCAUCAGGAACACCGGAGGCGAAGGCGGCUCACUGGGGGUCUUCUGACGCUGAGGAACGAAAGCCAGGGGAGCGAACGGG